rnacentral:rRNA from 1 species
CACACGUCAUACAAUGGCGGUACAGAGGUUGCCAACCCGCGAGGGGGAGCCUAAUCCCACAAAGCCGGUCGUAGUCCGGAUCGCAGUCUGCAACUCGACUGCGUGAAGUCGGAAUCGCUAGUAAUCGCGGAUCAGCAUGUCGCGGUGAAUACGUUCCCGGGUCUU